GAACGCAGCCAGUGAUUAGCCGAUGCUUGGUGUCCUAUAUCGGCCUAUACGUGGUACGUGGUCGGAUGCCAUUGAAAUGACUUUUUGUUUUUAAUAUUCGCAUCGCGUGUUUUUCAGUUUCUUGCAAAUAUGUCGCAAACUUAUUGUAGAGUAAAAAAAUUAAAAAAAUUAGAUAGCAACAAACAGUGUGAUAACAUUGAAAAUUAUAAUAAACAAAGUGAUAGUAAAGUGGAUGAUGUCGACAAUAAUGCCCAAGAGGUUAUAUUUGAUGAUACUGAAGUAAGUGUUACUCCAGUAAGAAUUAACGUGGAAGAUGAUUCUGAUUAAACAAGAAAUAUCAACGAAAACACAGGUUCCUAUUAUAUUAGAUGAUAUGUCGAUGGAUAUAUUGAACGUGCAACCAAAUGGGAUUAUUUAGCAUAAUUACUACCGGAGAAUUUAACAUCAAAGAUUGCAUAGCAAAAAUGAUGAAAUCAAUAGUAGGGAAAUCUGUUGAGUUUGAGUAUUCCAAUACAGGAAGAGUUAUUCAUGGACAAUCAAAGACAAAUUUCAGUGCGACCAUAACAUACCAAUACAUAAGAGACGUUUUAAUACAAAAAUUUGGCAAUACGUUGGACAUAAAGAAACUACCUGGUCAAAUCGGAGUAUGGCUCUCUGGCGAUAGAGAAGGUGGUAGGAAACAAAGAAUGCAACAUCUUUAAUAUAAAUAUUAAAACCAAAAAAACAUCCAGCUUUAAGGAGGUUGCGGAGGGAAUAAAUAUCUCCAAUACUGCUGCCGCUUCUUUAGUCAGCAUCAUGACAGAGCAAAAGGUAUCUUUGUUCACUGCGCAAUGGAUUAUUAUUAAAUUUCUUACGAUAGAUGACGUAAGACCGUCCGAAAUUGUUAAAAGGCUUGAAGCACAGUUCGGGUAUAAUUGCAUGCAGAAAGCUGAAGCGUACGUGUGGUACAGACAAUCUUUAAGAAUAAUACGAAGAGCAGGUAGAAAUGGAACUUACCCACAUGAUCUAUGGACCAACGAAAUCCCAGACACCUCUUCAUAAGCUAAACUGAGGACGUGUUAAAGAGACAAGUUAUCGGUCUAGUGUAUAAUAUAGAAAUCUGUGAACAUGACUGAGAGGAGCAUAUUCGCCGUCUUCUCAAGGAUAACCCCCGAUUAACGAUGCUAAAAUUGCUUUUGAGAUCGGAAUAAGCUACGACAGUAUUCAGACAAUCAUUACUGACUACAGAAACAUAUAUUAUAAACUAUUUUGUGGAUCCUCCAGAUAGUACAAAACUUUCAAGAGACGCCCCUGGGAUGUCUCAAGGUCCGUAAAUAGAUGAACGGAACAAAGGACAAGAGCAUAGGCUUUUGCAUAACACAUAAUACAUAACGCAUAAGAGAAUAAACCAAUUAGUUUUCUUCAUUUUCCUCCUCAGGAUAGAAAUGAAGAACUCUGAUUGGUUGAUUCUCUUAUGCGUUGUGUAUUAUGCGUUAUGCAGAAGUCUGUGCUUUGGCCCAAAGUCAGGUCCUCUCACGGCCGCCAUUUUGGAGCCAGAGAAUCUGUGUUAGUUACGUGAUAUUAUUAUGGUUAUAUUAUUAUGGUUAUAUUAUUAUGAUAGUAUUAUAGUUUAGUUGUAUGAGUGAACAGAGUAAUCAAAACAUAGUUUAAGAUGUAAUCAGAAAUAAUCAAAACAUAGUUUAAACACAUUCCAAAAUACUAGUGAGAAUUUUCAGAAGAAAAACAAUUACAAUGCCGAUUGUAGUACAAAAAAUUGCAAAACAUGAAAAUAAUUUUUGAUCUGACGUAUGUGGUUAAUCAGUUGAGCCACGCCAUUUCGAGCCAAACUAUGGUCGCUGCCAUUUUCGAGCCAAACUAUGUGAAAUGGAUAAGAGGAUGAGACUUUGUUCCGUUUCUCUAUUUACGGACCUUGGAAUGUCCUAAGAACGUUGGGAUGUCCUCAGGACAUCUGUGCUAUAUGGGACUAAACCAGCGUUACUAGAUCGUGAGAUUUUUUCGCACGUGCGCAAUAAGCGCAACUCCGCUCAGUCCCAAUCGCGUACGUAUUUCGCUGGAAUAUAAGGUAUCGCUAAGGCCCUUCGAAGAAAAGAAUGAGAUAUAUUGAAAAAUGAGUAUAGGAUAAUGAGAGAUGUAUAACAAAAAUGUAUAAAAAACGUAUUACAGGUUUCUUAUGCAUCGUUUUUUAAGUUCGUGCUGUCUGGUUACAAUGCAAGCUAUUUUACUUCAUUACCAUAUAAUAAAUAAUAGUUUUACGUUCAGCGAUGAUGAAGACCUUUAAGAAUCGACUAUUGAUAGCACAAUGUUCGUGUAUCAUUUGUGAGUGUUUCUUGUUUUAAUAUAUAAUAUGAUAAUACAUUGCAUACGCAUAUGCAAUACGUGCUGUUCAGGUUUUCGUAUAGGCCCCACAUAAACGCCUAUUGCUGCAUCUAAACACGAUACUGACAAGACUUCCCAUGUGGGGAUUGUGACGUACUGGCGCAUGCGCUGUUGAAUAUCGAUCUGAGGCCGCUGUUGUUUAAAGUUAAAUUGCAGCAACAGUAUUGUUAUCGGUCAACCCUGAGACCGGCUGCUAAUAUCCAUUUGUGACGUCUUCCGCCCUUUUGCGAUUACC